AUCCUUUUGUGGUUCAUAAAUAUGAUCAUGGUUUUUUUUACACCAUCCUGUGAGAUGUGCCUCCUUCAAACCUUGUUACAAUGUGGGCAUAUUAUCCACCUGAU
rnacentral:snoRNA from 1 species